rnacentral:rRNA from 1 species
AGAGCGAACGCUGGCGGCAGGCCUAACACAUGCAAGUCGAGCGCCCCGCAAGGGGAGCGGCAGACGGGAGAGUAACACGUGGGAACGUACCCUUUGGUUCGGAACAACACAGGGAAACUUGUGCUAAUACCGGAUAAGCCCUUACGGGGAAAGAUUUAUUGCCAAAGGAUCGGCCCGCGUCUGAUUAGCUUGUUGGUGAGGUAACGGCUCACCAAGGCUACGAUCAGUAGCUGGUCUGAGAGGAUGAUCAGCCUCACUGGGACUGAGACACGGCCCAGACUCCUACGGGAGGCAGCAGUGGGGAAUAUUGGACAAUGGGCGCAAGCCUGAUCCAGCCAUGCCGCGUGGAUGAUGAAGGCCCUAGGGUUGUAAAGUCCUUUCGACGGGAAGAUAAUGACGGUACCGUAGAAGAACGCCCGGCUAACUUCGUGCCAGCAGCCGC